UUAUGGCCUCAUGCGUGUAUCAUUAUUCUCCGUAGCAUGAAAAGAGCAGAACAGAACAGUCAGAUAAAACACACAUUGGAAGGACUACAUUAACAGCACUCAUGGGAUUAAAGAUUUGUUUAUGGAGAGCCUUUCCCACCCAUAUUCACUGGAGGAUCAGGAACACAUGUUACACUGUCUGAGUGAGAACAGUAUGGAACCAAAGACCAGCAAGGACUCUGGGAUUACUUGGGAUACCUUAAGUUCAGGGGUCCACUCUUGGGACAGUCAGAUAGACCCACUGAGCUUUAAAAGUGAUUCUCUUCUGUUUGGUGGAGGAGACACAAUUGCACCCAGUUAUUUCAAUGGUAUGUUUAAAUCACUUUGAGUCAAUUGGCUAAUUAAUGUGUGUGUAUAUAUAUAUAUAUUCUCUUGGGGUUAGCCUGGAGGGAGUAGUUGUGGAAAGGGGCUGAGAAACUUGGAAUGAUGGUGACUAGAAGGAAUAAUAAAGUAGUAUGUAGGACGUGUAAAAGCAGGGAGAGGAGUAAGAGUGGCUUGGAGAUAAGUGUGUUUGAAAGGUAAGAGGGCAAUAUUCAAGGAGAGAGUGGGAAGUGGGAAAGGGAUAGUGAAAAGAAGUUGUAGAAAUUUACA